GGGGAAGGCAGAUACACCCUUAAUUGGGUGGGCACCGUCUAAUCAGCCACCAGCAAAUUUAUUAAGCAGGCAGGAAAACGUGAAGAGGUUAGAUUGGCCUAGACUCCCAGCCCACAUCUUUCUCCUGUGCUGGAUGCUUCCUGCCCUCGAACAUCUUCAGUUUUGGGACUCAGACUGGCUCUCCUUGCUCCUCAGCUUGCAGACAGCCUAUUGCAGGACCUUGUGGUCAUGUAAGGUACAGGGUUUCACCAUGUUGUCCAGGCUGGUCUCAAACUCCUGGGCUCAAGCGAUCCACCUGCCUCAGCCUCCCAGAAUGCUGGGAUUACCAGUGUGAGCCACCAUGGCCAGCCAAAGGUAUCUCUAUGCCAGUAGUUUUUCAAACUGCAAUACACGGACCAAAUGCCUCAGAAUUACUUGGGCUGCAUAUUAAGAUGCAGGUUUCUGGGCUAGUCUCAGAGGAUGAGAGUUGGUAGACUUGCCACUUAAUCAUUUCUCCCAAAACACACUGAAAAUUGUGAUUUGUACCAGCAUCUCAUUCUUCCAUGCAAUCCCAAAUUCCCUGUCCCUUCUUCUAGACAGUUUG
rnacentral:lncRNA from 1 species